rnacentral:rRNA from 1 species
AACGAACGCUGGCGGCAUGCUUAGCACAUGCAAGUCGAACGAGACCUUCGGGUCUAGUGGCGCACGGGUGCGUAACGCGUGGGAAUCUGCCCUUAGGUACGGAAUAACUCAGAGAAAUUUGUGCUAAUACCGUAUGAUGUCGAAAGACCAAAGAUUUAUCGCCUAAGGAUGAGCCCGCGUAAGGUUAGCUUGUUGGUGAGGUAAAAGCUCACCAAGGCGACGAUCUUUAGCUGGUCUGAGAGGAUGAUCAGCCACACUGGGACUGAGACACGGCCCAGACUCCUACGGGAGGCAGCAGUGGGGAAUAUUGGACAAUGGGCGAAAGCCUGAUCCAGCAAUGCCGCGUGAGUGAUGAAGGCCUUAGGGUUGUAAAGCUCUUUUACCAGGGAUGAUAAUGACAGUACCUGGAGAAUAAGCUCCGGCUAACUCCGUGCCAGCCGCCGCAGUAA